rnacentral:rRNA from 1 species
AUUGAACGCUGGCGGCAGGCCUAACACAUGCAAGUCGAACGGUAACAGGAAGAAGCUUGCUUCUUUGCUGACGAGUGGCGGACGGGUGAGUAAUGUCUGGGAAACUGCCUGAUGGAGGGGGAUAACUACUGGAAACGGUAGCUAAUACCGCAUAACGUCGCAAGACCAAAAAGGGGGACCUUCGGGCCUCUUGCCAUCGGACGUGCCCAGAUGGGAUUAGCUAGUAGGUGGGGUAACGGCUCACCUAGGCGACAAUCCCUAGCUGGUCUGAGAGGAUGACCAGCCACACUGGAACUGAGACACGGUCCAGACUCCUAAGGGAGGCAGCAGUGGGGAAUAUUGCACAAUGGGCGCAAGCCUGAUGCAGCCAUGCCGCGUGUAUGAAGAAGGCCUUCGGGUUUUAAAGUACUUUCAGCGGGGAGGAAGGGAGUAAAGUUAAUACCUUUGCUCAUUGACGUUACCCGCAGAAGAAGCACCGGCUAACUCCGUG